UACGUAGGGGGCAAGCGUUGUCCGGAUUUAUUGGGCGUAAAGAGCGUGUAGGCGGCCAGGUAGGUCUGCUGUGAAAACUCGAGGCUUAACCUCGAGAUGUCGGCGGAAACCAUCUGGCUAGAGUCCGGAAGAGGCGAGUGGAAUUCCUGGUGUAGCGGUGGAAUGCGCAGAUAUCAGGAGGAACACCAACGGCGAAAGCAGCUCUCUGGGACGGUACUGACGCUGAGACGCGAAAGCGUGGGGAGCGAACAGG
rnacentral:rRNA from 1 species